CCCUGGCUCAGGAUGAACGCUGGCGGCGUGCCUAAUACAUGCAAGUCGAGCGAACAGAUAAGGAGCUUGCUCCUUUGACGUUAGCGGCGGACGGGUGAGUAACACGUGGGUAACCUACCUAUAAGACUGGAAUAACUCCGGGAAACCGGGGCUAAUGCCGGAUAACAUGUUGAACCGCAUGGUUCUACAGUGAAAGACGGUCUUGCUGUCACUUAUAGAUGGACCCGCGCCGUAUUAGCUAGUUGGUGGGGUAACGGCCUACCAAGGCGACGAUACGUAGCCGACCUGAGAGGGUGAUCGGCCACACUGGAACUGAGACACGGUCCAGACUCCUACGGGAGGCAGCAGUAGGGAAUCUUCCGCAAUGGGCGAAAGCCUGACGGAGCAACGCCGCGUGAGUGAUGAAGGUCUUCGGAUCGUAAAGCUCUGUUGUUAGGGAAGAACAAAUGUGUAAGUAACUGUGCACAUCUUGACGGUACCUAACCAGAAAGCCACGGCUAACUACGUGCCAGCAGCCGCG
rnacentral:rRNA from 1 species